rnacentral:rRNA from 1 species
GACGAACGCUGGCGGCGUGCCUAAUACAUGCAAGUAGAACGCACAGUUUAUACCGUAGCUUGCUACACCAUAAACUGUGAGUUGCGAACGGGUGAGUAACGCGUAGGUAACCUGCCUGGUAGCGGGGGAUAACUAUUGGAAACGAUAGCUAAUACCGCAUAAUAUUAAUUAUUGCAUGAUAAUUGAUUGAAAGAUGCAAUUGCAUCACUACCAGAUGGACCUGCGUUGUAUUAGCUAGUAGGUGAGGUAACGGCUCACCUAGGCGACGAUACAUAGCCGACCUGAGAGGGUGAUCGGCCACACUGGGACUGAGACACGGCCCAGACUCCUACGGGAGGCAGCAGUAGGGAAUCUUCGGCAAUGGACGAAAGUCUUACCGAGCAACGCCGCGUGAGUGAAGAAGGUUUUCGGAUCGUAAAGCUCUGUUGUAAGAGAAGAACGGGUGUGAGAGUGGAAAGUUCACACUGUGACGGUAUCUUACCAGAAAGGGACGGCUAACUACGUG